rnacentral:tRNA from 1 species
CCCUGGCUGGCUCAGUGGGUAGAGCAUUUGAUUCUUGAUCUCAAGGUCGUGGGUUUGAGCCCCACAUUGGGCA